ACAGCCAAGAGGGAGGCCGGGCCAGGGGCUGGUGGCUUCCUCCGCGAGCUCUGCCAGUUUCUGGCCUCAGGUCCUGAGUUGUUAUCGCAAGUCCAGGAAGAAUGAGGUUACUCAGGCAACUGGAGGGUGAGGAUGGAGAAGAGCUUUAUUGAGCAACAGAACAGCUCUCAGCAGAGAGGAGACCCAAAGUGGGUAGCUCCUACCUGCAGGAAGGUUUCUGAAGGGGGCCAAGAUGGCCCAAUAGGAACAGCUCCAGUCUGCAGCUCCCAGAAAGACCAACGCAGAAGGCAGAUGAUGAAUUAGAGCGGUUGUUAUCGAAUCUGCCACCAGAGGGCGAUCCAGGCUGAAGAUCUCUCUCUCUGCGGAAGCCAGCCACCGCUCUCCAAGGACUCUCGAGCAGCUCCAUCUACAGAUUCACAUGGAGAAGAAUUAAGGGUUCCUGCCAAUCACCAGCACCACUUUGCCAGCCUUGUAAGUGGGCCACCUUGGAAUUGGAGCCUCCAGUUCCUACUGACAUCUGACUGCAACAUCAUGAGAGACCCUGAGUUUGAACCACCCAGCUGAGCUGCUUCUGAGCUAACCCACUGAAACCGUGAAAGUACCUGAAUGAAACAACACCCAGUAGCCACUAGCACACCUAGCUCCCAGAUCUGUUUUUGAUGCCAUUCUUCAGUAAAAGGAAGCAAGGCUGCUUGGAGAAAUUGCUAUCAAGGACUGGGGUAGAAAAUAUACAAGAUGAAAUUGGAGCAUCUUGUAGUGCUUGAAAACAGUUGGCAUCUGUGUGAAGAUGUGAAUGGAGGAGGCAGAGUAGGCAGUGAGUGCCGCAGCCACAGCUUGUGUUCUCUGCAGCCCUGGCACAGAAGAUAGGAACACUCAUGGGGGAUGCGGCCACUGUGAUGUCUUCCCACACAAGAAGUGCCAAGUGCUUUUCUCAUGCUUUUCUGGAUUGUCCCAUGGUGGACGAGUCAGCAGGAGUGAGAUGGAGCAGCACAGUAGAGGGCACCUGCUCUGUUUUGUCCCAGGCCAGGAUAUCGUUGUACAUAUUCUCAGCUAAGUGAGCACCAAUAGAGGAGAGGGAGAGUCUCAUGGAAGUUCCUUCUAAGCCUUUGGCUCUUUUUACCUUCAACAAGGUGUGCCACCUCUUUGAUCCAGCAAGUGGGAAGAACAGUCCCGGCCUCUUUGCACACAAGACCGUGAUACCAAUGCACCAUCACAGGCCCCACAGGGGAGCUGUCCGCUUCCCCACACAGCUGCUAGGGGCUCUUUUGCAUGUUCCCAACCUUUCCUGCCUUUAUCUGAUAUUCGUUCCUUAGAUCCUGGGAUGAGGAGGUGGACCAGCAGAAGGUGGGCUUGUGAAGGCAGCCCGGGGUCCAAAUCCUCCUGGCUCUUCAGCUUAGCGGGAUGUCACCUUCAGCGUCUGAAAGCUGGGUUUGAUGCGUCUGGAAAGGCGUCCCUGACAGGCGUCGUUGCCAGGAGCCCCUAGUGCCACCAGCAGCCAGCAGGGGAGGGCGUCCUCUGCCCGCUCACUUCUGACCCUUCUCUCGUUGCACCCGGAACAUGGUGCAGCUGGGAGCAGCCUGGGCUGCGCGGAAGGCUCAGAUUUGGGGACGGCCCUUGCCAGUGACUGUGAGCUGGGGUGUCUUGGAAACUCCCAGUCUCAGCUUCUCCAUUUAUAAGAUGAGAAUGAUCAUACCAGACUCAGGCAAGGUUGUUUGUGCAUUAGUGAAAUCAGACGUAUUAAAUAAAGUACCACAUUGAUCGU
rnacentral:lncRNA from 1 species